UGUUAGCGGCGGCACGGGUGAGUAACACGUGGGUAACCUGCCUGUAAGACUGGGAUAACUCCGGGAAACCGGGGCUAAUACCGGAUGGUUGUUUGAACCGCAUGGUUCAAACAUAAAAGGUGGCUUCGGCUACCACUUACAGAUGGACCCGCGGCGCAUUAGCUAGUUGGUGAGGUAACGGCUCACCAAGGCAACGAUGCGUAGCCGACCUGAGAGGGUGAUCGGCCACACUGGGACUGAGACACGGCCCAGACUCCUACGGGAGGCAGCAGUAGGGAAUCUUCCGCAAUGGACGAAAGUCUGACGGAGCAACGCCGCGUGAGUGAUGAAGGUUUUCGGAUCGUAAAGCUCUGUUGUUAGGGAAGAACAAGUACCGUUCGAAUAGGGCGGUACCUUGACGGUACCUAACCAGAAAGCCACGGCUAACUACGUGCCAGCAGCCGCGGUAAUACGUAGGUGGCAAGCGUUGUCCGGAAUUAUUGGGCGUAAAGGGCUCGCAGGCGGUUUCUUAAGUCUGAUGUGAAAGCCCCCGGCUCAACCGGGGAGGGUCAUUGGAAACUGGGGAACUUGAGUGCAGAAGAGGAGAGUGGAAUUCCACGUGUAGCGGUGAAAUGCGUAGAGAUGUGGAGGAACACCAGUGGCGAAGGCGACUCUCUGGUCUGUAACUGACGCUGAGGAGCGAAAGCGUGGGGAGCGAACAGGAUUAGAUACCCUGGUAGUCCACGCCGUAAACGAUGAGUGCUAAGUGUUAGGGGGUUUCCGCCCCUUAGUGCUGUCAGCUAACGCAC
rnacentral:rRNA from 2 species